AUUCUCAGUUCGGAUUGUAGGCUGAAACUCGCCUACAUGAAGCUGGAGUUACUAGUAAUCGCAGAUCAGCAUGCUGCGGUGAAUACGUUCCCGGGCCUUGUACACACCGCCCGUCACACCAUGGGAGUCGGUAACACCCGAAGUCGGUAGCCUAACCGUAAGGAGGGCGCCGCCGAAGGUGGGAUUGAUGACUGGGGUGAAGUCGUAACAAGGUAUC
rnacentral:rRNA from 1 species